UGAAGACCCAUUUGACUUGUUAUUGAAGUUAUCUCCAUCUCUAUGCUAAUUCACAAAUACCUGUGUCUUAUGAAGCCAAGAUAAUCUUUUUAAAAAAAUUAAAGAAAAUAAAAAAAUGAAAAUGGUUGUCUCCUGAGAUUUCAUUAUUUUCUUAGUUUGCAUUUACACAGCCAGGUAGCAAUCGAGUUUUUGAAACCUCACAGAAAUCCUGGAUGUAUCACAAUUCGUGCUUAGCUAUCUGAUGUGGCUUGCAUGAAAAAGGUCUAUAUUUAAAUGGAAAUUUUCUCCUUAAUUUCAAAGUGCCAGCUUUGAAUGUGUUUCCGUUUGGUGUUUUUCUUUUUCAAAUUUUCUUUCUUUUGGUGGUGGGGAGGAGGGGAAGA
rnacentral:misc_RNA from 1 species